rnacentral:rRNA from 1 species
UCAGGCCUAACACAUGCAAGUCGAGGGGUAGAAGGAGCUUGCUCCUUUGAGACCGGCGCACGGGUGCGUAACGCGUAUGCAAUCUACCUUUUACAGAGGGAUAGCCCAGAGAAAUUUGGAUUAAUACCUCAUAGUAUAUAAUCUUCGCAUGUUGGUUAUAUUAAAGUUCCAACGGUAAAAGAUGAGCAUGCGUCCUAUUAGCUAGUUGGUGUGGUAACGGCACACCAAGGCAACGAUAGGUAGGGGUCCUGAGAGGGAGAUCCCCCACACUGGUACUGAGACACGGACCAGACUCCUACGGGAGGCAGCAGUGAGGAAUAUUGGACAAUGGGCGCAAGCCUCAUCAGGGCAUGCCGCGUGCAGGAAGACGGUCCUAU